UUCAACAGCUGCAUCCCCAGGAGC
rnacentral:misc_RNA from 1 species